ACAUCUUAUGUCAACACAUUUAGAAUCAGUACAUCUGGUUGCCGAUACAAAUAGUGUUCUAGAUUCUUAUAUAGUCAACAGUGAUAACCGUAAAAUGGUGGAUCAUGGUUUACGAAUCAAGGAAUUAUUGAAAAAUAUGGAGACCAAAAAACUUUAAAAAAUAAUCCAUGAAAAUAAAAGUAAAAUAAUAGUAAAGUACGUAGAAACGAUUAGAGUUUAUAAAAGACUAAAUCAAUGUUUCUAAGGAACAUUGAAUUCGUAGUAUAUUUACUGAUGAAAGUAAAUUUAACAUAUAUAUAUCGGAUGGAUGAUAUACUAUUUGGAGUGAAAAAAAUACCGAAUAUAAGUAAAACUAUUUCUAGACGUCCGUAAAGCAUGGAAGAGCUUACAGUUCGGAGCUGCAUGAAUGCAAACGUGUUUGGAUUUCUUUAUUUUAUUGAUGGACAAUUAUAUAUCAUUUUACAAGAUAAUAAUCUAAAACUCGCUUACAAUAUGCGACAAUGGAUCUUGUAUAAGAUA